rnacentral:misc_RNA from 1 species
GGAAAGUAAAAGUCGUAACAAGGUUUCCGUAGGUGAACCUGCGGAAGGAUCAUUAUUAGUAUUUACAAUUAUAUUCUGUGAACCAAAACUGGAUCUUAAGGCGAUGUAACGAACUAAGAUUAUACAAAACAAAAAUAUAAAAACUCCCAGCAAUGGAUCUCUUGGCUCUC